rnacentral:rRNA from 1 species
AACGAACGCUGGCGGCAUGCCUAACACAUGCAAGUCGAACGAUGGCUUCGGCCAUAGUGGCGCACGGGUGCGUAACGCGUGGGAACCUGCCCUUAGGUUCGGAAUAACUCAGAGAAAUUUGAGCUAAUACCGGAUAAUGUCUUCGGACCAAAGAUUUAUCGCCUUUGGAUGGCCCGCGUAGGAUUAGGUAGGUGGUGGGGUAAUGGCCGUACCAAGCCGCGGAUCCUUAGCUGGUCUGAGAGGAUGAUCAGCCACACUGGGACUGAGACACGGCCCAGACUCCUACGGGAGGCAGCAGUGGGGAAUAUUGGACAAUGGGGGAAACCCUGAUCCAGCAAUGCCGCGUGAGUGAUGAAGGCCUUAGGGUUGUAAAGCUCUUUUACCCGGGAUGAUAAUGACAGUACCGGGAGAAUAAGCUCCGGCUAACUCCGUGCCAGCCGCCGCCGUAACAC